rnacentral:lncRNA from 1 species
CAGCGAAUUUAUCUUCAGCUUCUUCGGUGUGGGCGCCUGGUGCUUACGAUUUCGCAUCGAUUGUGACCUGACACCAGCCUCCCGAGGUCAAGUAUGGUAUUCCCCGAUUACAGCCAAGUCCUGUGUAACGGAACUACAGCUAAGACCGAAUUCGUCUAGAAAGCAGAGUCAGGGCAGCCUGCUGGAAUAUUUUGAGAGGCCUGUAACCUUUGGCUGACACCCAGCAAGGCUAUUAGUUUAA